rnacentral:lncRNA from 1 species
CCUUAAGGUCUAUAGAGAUAGAUGCAAUUGGAUGCUUGUAUUUUCAUAAAUAAAGUAUAGAGAGUAGAUGCUAAAAGGAUUUAGCAUAAAAAUCUUGGAGAAGGGUCUGCUAUCCUCUCGGACAUACAAAUAUGCCAUGUAAUGUACUUGAACUAAUAUAGUUAAUACUGUGAAUGUCAUGAGUAGAUAUCAAUUGUAUUCAGGCUG